UCUCAUCUGAGUUUCUUAAAACUCUAAUUCAUCAAAAACAAAUAGAAGCGUAUGCUUGUCUGUUGACUGCUCUGUUGUACAAAAACAACCAUUUCAAUGAGGUAUUCAUAUGAAUAUAAAAACUGUAUUAUAUGGUAUUUGAAAUUGUCUUAACUACUUUGUUUAUCAUGUGUCUGACAGGAGAGUUCUCAAAUUCCCGAUAAUAUCAAACCAUAUUUGGACAAAAUUGUUGAUGUUAAGUCGGAUGGCAAUUGCGGUUUUAGAUGUGUAGCAUCUUUGCUCGGGAUGUCGAAAAAUGAGGAAGAUUGGCCUAGAAUCCGUAUGGAGUUCUUGAAAGAAUUAAAAGACAGAAAGGUUAGGUAUAAGGAGCUGUAUGGCGGUGGAUUUAAUGCCAUAGAAUCGGCACUUAAGUGGAGUUAUGGUGCAACUACUAAAGAAUUUUAGAUUGCUUAACUCAAAACCUUUAGAAUUGCUUUUUUUAAUUGUUUUUGAUUCUGACCCUUCAUUUUAUCAUAUGUCAAUAGAAACCGCUGAGAAAGACAAAAACAAAGAAGACUCAGAGGAAGAGGAAGAAUCCUGAGACACAGACUCUUCAUUCUUCAUUCUCCGACAUCACGACUACGGCAGUUCCAAUCGUGGGGCGUGAAGUUACUCCUGACUUAGAUUCUGAUAAUAAUUCCGGCAUCGCAACACAUCUGAUUGCAGACGUGGAGGAUCAAUUUACUCCUCCUACUACUACUCCUGCUGUUCCAGUUGCGGGGCAUCAAUUGACUCCUCCUGCUGUUCCAGUUGCGGGGCAUCAAUUGACUCCUCCUGCUGUUCCAGUUGCGGGGCAUCAAUUGACUCCUCCUGCUGUUCCUGUUGCGGGGCAUCAAUUGACUCCUUACUCUGGUAAUCUAAAAGUUUAUUUUACUGCUUUUCAUCAUUUAUCCCCUUCCAUUCUUUCUUGAUUUUAAAUAAUACUGGAAUUAUGUAAAAUAAUUUCAGAUUUUCAUGUCAAUGAUGGCAAUGAUGGCGUCUCAUCUGAGUUUCUUAAAACUCUAAUUCAUCAAAAACAAAUAGAAGCGUAUGCUUGUCUGUUGACUGCUCUGUUGUACAAAAACAACCAUUUCAAUGAGGUAUUCAUAUGAAUAUAAAAACUGUAUUAUAUGGUAUUUGAAAAUUGUCCUUAACUACUUUUGUUUAUCAUGUGUCUUGACAGGAAAGGACAAAUUUAUUAAAUGGUCUCAAGAAAGAACUUAAGAUUUCUGAAGAUGAGGAGAUAAAAGUUAUUGAUCAGAUUGAAAAUGAUAGUAACGUCAAUCUAAUUAGGUAUUGUAAUAGUUUGUAAAAAGGACAAAUUUAUUAAAUGGUCUCAAGAAAGAACUUAAGAUUUCUGAAGAUGAGGAGAUAAAAGUUAUUGAUCAGAUUGAAAAUGAUAGUAACGUCAAUCUAAUUAGGUAUUGUAAUAGUUUGUAAAAGUUUAUAGGAAUAACUCAAACUAGUGGCAUAAUAAAUGCUGCAAAACUAGGGCUCAAAAUAUACUGAGUUAAAAGAACUCAAUUAUCACGUGGACACAGAAAACGCGUUCAGAGUCUCCCAUCUCCGGCAAAGAGCCUCACCGGAGCGGACCAAACGUUCAAAUUCAACCACCAAAUCUCUGCGUCCUCGCUCUAUACCCUCCCUUAAUUUCCAUCAAUCUUUCACCAAUUAAACGAGGCAAACCGUACAUGAGCCCUAGUUCACCGAAUCUUAAAUUAAAUAAAUAUCAUGCGUUAAUCCAGUCCCAAAUCUUAGGGUUAACGUUCCUCAGGGUGAAUGCUACAAGAUGGUAACAAAAUUAGAAGAAAAAAAAAAAGAAGGAAUCAAAUACCUCCGAAGCGGAGGUUUGCUCCGGCGAUCGUUGGAAUGAAGAAGAUAACGACGCCGUGGAAACUCUUGAGUCAGGUACAAAUUCUCUUCUCCGUGCUUCCCUUUCUUCACUCUUCUUCUUCUAUCCCGUUCUUCUGAGUAUUGAUGAACGAUUCCGUGCGCGGAUUGCAUAUUACUCGGU
rnacentral:lncRNA from 1 species